GUCACCUGACAUUUAAAAUAAUCAACCAAGGAGUUUAAAGCCGGUAUCUGAUAAAUCCUCACACAGCAUUGAUGUCUGGAUAUAAAACUAUAACACACAACUCUCAGAUGGAAUGUUUUGUCGGAACAUGAAUGACGUCUGCGUUUGCUAUUUUUAACAGUUUCAUUCUUGUUCCUUUCGGCUGAUUUGUAGCAAAAACGGGGAGUUUUUAACUUGUUCAUUUAAAAACUAUUUAAAUGUAUUGUGCUUCUUAUUCUUUUAGGCAAAUACUGUGUCUCCAUCUCUGACUUUUUUUUAACAAAUUUCCAUCAAAAUAAUCUUCGUCCUUGAUCAGCACAACUUCAGGAAGCUGCAGGCACCACAAAACCAUCAUCAUCAUCAUCAUCAUCAUCGUGAUGGACCUAAAAGCAAAAACAUGAAAGGAUUCGAGUGAGGAGUUUAAAUAUCUCCAAAAACAUGAACUCCACCAACAUUGAGCUUCACUAAACAUCUUCACUUGGAAACGACGUAAAGUCAUGAACACUGUCAGACUCACGUGAGUUUAUUUUGAAAGGACAGGAGCUCGUUUCAAAGCAAUUUCAGGGAAAAACAAAGAAUCCAAAAGGUAUGGAAGCCCGGAAGGGCCAAGAGGUGAACGUUAGCUGUAAUUUCACAGUAAUACCUGUAUUAUUAUGACGGUCUAGUAACGUUUUUAUUUCAAGCUAAUAUUUUGUGGUUUUGUGAUAAACUAUAUUUCAGUUAAAGCGGACAUAUAAGAAGUUGUUUUUUGUUAUAUAGUACGAGUGCAAAUUGAGUUUUUUAAACAGAGAACAAGAAGAAAUUUUCCUUGCUUCCUAGUCCCGCGUGCGUGUUCAGAUGUUCCGUCCGCGUGGUUACCUGUUCC